rnacentral:ncRNA from 2 species
AAACAUACACACGCAUUCACUCAUAUAAUAGUGGGAAUAUGGCCCACGAGUCUCUACCGAUUUGCCGUAAACGAAUUGACUAUGAGGAAGCAUGAUUUAUUG